rnacentral:rRNA from 1 species
UACGGGGGGGGUAAGCGUUGUUCGGAAUUACUGGGCGUAAAGGGCGCGUAGGCGGCCCUCCUUGUCGCGUGUGAAAGCCCCGGGCUCAACCUGGGAAUUGCGCGCGAAACGGGGGGGCUUGAGUUCGGGAGAGGAGCGUGGAAUUCCCAGUGUAGAGGUGAAAUUCGUAGAUAUUGGGAAGAACACCGGUGGCGAAGGCGGCGCUCUGGACCGAGACUGACGCUGAGGCGCGAAAGCGUGGGGAGCAAACAGG